rnacentral:lncRNA from 1 species
GUUUGUUAGCUAUCUAGAAGUUGUCCAGGGCUCCCUGAGGGAGGCCAGCACAAGAGCUCUGCCAUAAAAGGACAUUGGACAGAAGUGAAGAGUCCAAUCAGAAACUCUUUUUGAGAGACUGAACGCAAAGCAUUCAGAGAGUCAGCAGGCUGGAGAGGCCAAGACACACACACGAAGAAGGCAGGACACUCUUCUCCUCCUGCGGUUGGACUCCAGGCUCUAUGACCUUCAAACUCCAGGACUUACACCAGUUGCCCCUGGGCACUCAGGACUUCUGCUUCAGACUGACAGUUGCAGGACAGUGCAGCAUUUUAUUUUAAAGAUACCCCACAACGUAGGUGGCCAGUCCUGCUGCAGACUGUGUCUGUAUCUGGGAUCAGUUGCGAAGCAGAAGUAUGACGUGACUAAGGCCACCGCUGGGUUAGGAUACCCCCAUCCAAGAUUGAGAGCUGUACUAGCCUGGCAUGCAGACAGCAGCUUUAGAAUCAGAUCUGCCUUCUGGCGGCUUCCCACCUAGGAGCCAUGGGACCUUUGUGAAGUCACCAAUUGUGCUGUGGAUGCUUCAUUUGUGAAGGAGAACAGGACUGCCUUGUGAAAUUACGGAUGGUGCUACUAAAACAUAUCAAUAAUUUGAAUUUCACUUUUGUGGAUGCUUUAAACAUCAUAGUCAUUAGAAGGUGGAUCUGGCUGAUUGUACUUUAAGUUUUCAGUUUGAGCUGGAGCUUUGUAUUAUAACAGGAGGGUACUGGACAAGAUGAGGAAACUGAGGUACAGAUGGGAAACUUGCUCAAGUUCACACAGCAAUUAAGUGAUCAAGUCCAAGAGCAAAACCAGGCAGGCUGGCUCCAGAGCUCACGAUAGUCCACCACUGCUUUCCACCAUCACUACGGAAUCAAGUCCAUGAGGAUACUCACCUUAUGUCAGUUGCCUAAGUUGGAAAUUAUAGAAUCUUCAAAUUGGAAGGGACGUUAUCAUCCAAGAUUUCAACUUUCUACUCACUGCAAAAUCCCUUCUGGAACUUCCCAGAUUGAUGAAUUUUCAUCAGCUCUGCUUGAGUACUCCCAGUGACUUGGAAAAAAAACACUGUAAUAUGGAUAUGAAAUAUAAACUGUUCAUGGAUAAAUUAUUGCAUAAUAAAAACAUGCCUAAUGGCUACACUCCCCUAAUAUGUUCAUUUGACUUCCCAGGAUUUAGCAACCAGGGCCUGGAAGGCAGACAAAGGUAACUGGCCCCAUGUGAUAAAAACAGGUUCCUUCUACGUGUGGGGCUUCUCCACUGCCAGGUUCCUGCAGCAAGUAGCAGUCACCAGCACCCAGUGGCCAGCAGCUUCCUCCACCACCUCCUGCUUGACACUGGAGUAAAUUCCAAAACAUGGCACCACCCUGUGAAUAGCUUCCUUGACACCCAAGAAGGUGGGUUUCCAGCAAGUUCUACUGGUGAGGCAUUUCAGUGGCUUGUCAGCCAUCCUUGAGCCACAGCUGCACUCUCUGCAAUAAGAUCUGUUUCUUGCUGAGGGCUUUUAUCUCAGCCCUAGGAGUAAUCUUAUAUCUGCUAUCCUUGUAUUCUGUAGAGUAAUUUAUAUUUCUUACUAGUCAAUCCAUUAUUAUCCGAAUUCUCUAUUAUAGUUAAUAAUUCUUUAUAUUAAACAUUCCCUGUUUGAAUUACU